AAUUAGAAAGCGAAUCACUUGCAUUUAGUUUCGACCUAGACUUUGGCCUUAAGCCUCUAAUUU
rnacentral:tRNA from 1 species